UGUGGGAGCGGGCUUGCUCGCGAAAGCGUCGGCACAGUCAACAUUGCUGUUGCUUGACCCACCGCUAUCGCGAGCAAGCUCGCUCCCACA
rnacentral:misc_RNA from 1 species